CGUGCUAAUCUGCGAUAAGCGCCGGUAAGGUGAUAUGAACCGUUAUAACCGGCGAUACCCGAAUGGGGAAACCCAGUGUGAUUCGUCACACUAUCAUUAACUGAAUCCAUAGGUUAAUGAGGCGAACCGGGGGAACUGAAACAUCUAAGUACCCCGAGGAAAAGAAAUCAACCGAGAUUCCCCCAGUAGCGGCGAGCGAACGGGGAGGAGCCCAGAGCCUGAAUCAGCAUGUGUGUUAGUGGAAGCGUCUGGAAAGGCGCGCGAUACAGGGUGACAGCCCCGUACACAAAAGCGCAUGUGCUGUGAGCUCGAUGAGUAGGGCGGGACACGUGGUAUCCUGUCUGAAUAUGGGGGGACCAUCCUCCAAGGCUAAAUACUCCUGACUGACCGAUAGUGAACCAGUACCGUGAGGGAAAGGCGAAAAGAACCCCGGCGAGGGGAGUGAAAAAGAACCUGAAACCG
rnacentral:rRNA from 1 species